rnacentral:lncRNA from 1 species
GUUGUAAACAUAAGUUUAUAUAUUCCAAAGGGACUCAUGUUUUUGUAGUUAAUUCUGUGUUAACCCUGUUGAUGAGUUAAGUGAGUAAUCCAUUUGGGUAGGGCAGAAGGAAAAUGUGAGACCUCUUAUGCAGGAAAUAAACACCAGGAUUGCAACACACCCUGCAUUGCCUCUCCACCCCAGAACACACAAAAGUACAUUAAAGUAAAAUUGUUUUUUGUAAUAUUUGGCUUUUAUAAAAAAAUAUGUAAAACAUAAUCCUCCUGAUCAUAGAAAAUGUAGAGAAACUUAUUUUCUAUAGUCUAGUAUUCUUUUAUUGGAUGACCAUCUAGGUCCUGGGAGAGGAAUUAGAUGGCUGUAAUUCAAAGUUAAUGGAAUUGGAUGCAGCAGUACAAAAAUUCUCAGAACAGCAUGCCCACCUGGGCAAGCCAUUGGCCAAGAAGAUAGGAAAACUGACUGAACUUCAGCAGCAGACCAUUCGGCAGGCUGAGAAUCGGCUCUCCAAGCUCAAUCAGGCAGUAUCACAUUUAGAAGACUACAAUGAAAUGCUCAAACUGAUUUUGAAGUGGAUUGAGAAAGCUAAAGUCUUGGUACGAGGAAAUAUUGCAUGGAAUUCUGCAAGCCAACUUCGGGAACAGUACAUUUUGCAUCAGGUAACUUUAGGAACAGUUUGCAAAGAGUAACAAAGAGCAAUAUGACUGACACAAAAUUUAGAGGGUCAUGAUGUAAAAGUUUUGUAGGUACCAGUUCAAAAGAAUCCUGAAUAUUCUGGUUUGACAGAAAGUAGCUACCCAUAAGAUUUUAUCAGAUGGUGUAUAAACUACUGUAAUACUCUCCAUUUUUUCCUAGCCCUUCCUUUCUCCAAGACCAAAAACAAUCAGCCCUACAUGACUACUUUUUUUUAACUUCCUUGAAACAAUCAUAUGCAGGGAAAUUCUAUAAAGUGAUGCAUGAAGUAUUAUAGGCCUGAGAGAAACCAAGCUCUGCCAUUGGGAGUGUGUGAUUUGGAGCAAAAUAUUUUGCCUUUUUAGAUUCUGCCUUCUCAUUUCUAAGGUGAGGGAGUAAAUAGUAGUCCCAUGUCAGACUCAAGAGGAUCAAAUGGCUUCAUGUAUUUCCAAACAUCUAGCAGAAGCAGGUGCUCUCUAGGAGUUCCCUGCCUCCUUCCCCUCAGCCUUCUGCUAGGGCUGGGUAGUGAGCCUUCCACAGGAGGUCAAGGUCACCUGGAACAAACAAUAGGUCCACAUCACAUGGCAGCCAUGUCACUUCAUUUCCUCUGAAGUUAUGUGACAAAAAUAUUCCUUUUCUUUUGCUCAUACUACCCAGGAAAUUAUUUCAUCCUUUCAUAAUUGAGACUUGGAUUAGAUUCAGAUAUCUAAUAGGCUAGUUAUCUUGCAACAAAAUGUAGACUGACUUUUCUUUAGAUUACAUGGAGGUCCUCAAGCAUUUUGGAUUUUCUCUCUUGUAUGACUUAUGUAUAUGAGUAUCUUUUAAAUUAAUCCUUUUCCAUUCCAUUUGACAGAGUUCUAGAUCAAAUCUGCACUGUUCUCUUCCUGGAAAGCUUUGACAGUGCCUAACAUUUCCCAUGCAUUCACAAUCUUCUUUCUCUAAUCAAUCUUGUGCCCCCUCCCAAGAUAUCUUACUUAAACAACUUCAAUUGUUUGGUGCAAGAUAUGCUAAGACAUUAACAGACAGACUUACCUUACAAAUGACUUGUAAACAGUGAAAAUACAUCCAACCUCAGUAAAAUUAUAAAAAUAAAAAUUUAAGGAAAAAGGAAAUUUAAAAAUUUUAACUGUUGAGUUAACACUUUUUAGAAGCUUAUACUUAAGUGAGAAAAUAAUUAGCAAAACAUGUGAUUGUCAAAAAUGUCACUACUCUGACUUGUUGAUUAUACUUUCUGAACUCAUUGCUGAUGCUGUAAUCUAAACUGUAAAAAAUAUUUUAUCUAAUAUUAAAAGUGUAGAAAAUUUAAAUGUCAAAUAACAAUAUUUCUCAGUAAAUAUUUGGGUUUUUCUCAGUAAAUAUUUGCAAAUAAUACAGUCCUGUUUUUAAAUUUUGUUUUAUUUUGUUUUUCCCAUACUCAGAAUUGAACCCAAGUUCUUUAUACUUAGUACAUUACCAAUGCAGUGUGAUCAGUGCGGAGAAAGAGAGGGCUGAGGAAGUGCUCAACCCAGACCGCCCUGUAUUAGUAAAUAAUUAAGGAAGGCUACUUAGGAAAAGGUGACACAGGGCUGAGUCUUGAAAAGCACUGCAGCCCACUUGUGGAAUUUGCUUUAGACAAAACCACAUUGUCUUGCAGUAAGAGUGCAGGUACUCUGAUGUGCUAGAAAGCUGGAAAGAGGGAUAAGAACAGAGAUAAGAACAGAGAGAUUAGGAAAACACAAACAAUGAAAGCCUGUUCCAAAUGUAGAUGUUAUCCUAAAGUCACUCUGAAACCCGGGACCAAGUUAGAAGUUCAGGCUGGUAGUGUAAGAAAAGGAGCUCCACAGCCCAGCCGGUGGAAAACAGAUUACUGAAGGUAAGACGAAAACCGAAGAGGUUUCCAUACUCCAAACUCUGCUCUCCAGUAGAAAACGCAAGUCCUCUCUUUGGAGAUUGAGAAGAAAGACAAAAUCAGGGUUGUUAGGAAGCUAGGACUCCUGUCUGGGAGGCGGUUUAAUGCGGGUGAAGUAGAGAAAGGGGUUCAGGAUAAUUCCCAGGUUUUUGUCACUUGGAAGCUGGGAGAUUGACCACGUUGUGGAACACAGGGGCACACAAGGAAUAACAGAUGGCUUCGGUAAACUGUUAAAGUUUCCUGAACUUUGAUUUGUUUUGCUGUGAAAUAGGGAAAACUGGGGAUAGCUACCAAGUGGAGUGAGGUGGCGGGGGGGGAUCAACCACAGUAACCUGCUCACAUUCCAUGCCCUAUGCCUGUGGGGAGCAUGAAUUACAGCUUAGUCCUCUUUACCCCCUCCCAAGUCCAGUAGUCUUUAUACCACACCAUGUUGGUUAUUUGCACCCCACACCCAUACACCUAACAAUGUCACGGAUAUUGACAAUUCAAUUUAGACCCUGCUAGAAGAAUCUGAAGAAAUUUACAGUGAUCUGGAAGCAAUGUCUGAGAAAUUACAACACCUCAGGAGUGUGUAUUAUACAGAAAAAAUGUCUCAGCAAGUGGCAGAACUGGGACGAGAGACUGAGGAGCUGCGGCAGGUGAUCAAAAUUCGUAUGCAGAGCCUCCAAGAUGCAGCCAAGGUAUAAAAAAAAAUCUAUUACUGAAAAAAACCAAAAAAAGGUGAUACUACUCUAGAGUAAUAGUACAACGUAGUUUCUUGACUAUGAUGUUAUUCUUCACGUAUGAUUAAUACUCAAAUGGCUUUUGGUCUUCAGGAUAUGAAAAAAUUUGAAGCGGAGCUGAGAAACUUACAAGUUGCUUUGGAACAAGCCCAGACCACCCUGACUUCUCCAGAAGUUGGGCGCCUGAGUCUCAAGGAGCAAUUAUCACAUCGACAGGUAAGAAAAAAUGAUUUAUGACAAAUGAGUAAUGACUUAUUUCUAAAAAAUUAGGAUAGCUAGGAAAAGUAUUUUCUAAAUUCAAUUAUAGAAGCUGGGCGUGGUGGCACACAUCUGUAAUUCCAGCACUUGGGAGGCUGAGGCAGGAGGAUCGCUGUAAAUUAGAGGCCAGCCUGGGCUACAUGGUAAAUUCAAAACCACCCUGAACUACUCAGUGAGACUGUCACAAAAAAAACAAAAUAAAUAAGUAAACUGAAUUAGUUCUAGUCUUAGAAUUAGAUGCGUUAUUGGGAAGAGUAUUCCUUGCAAUAUGUUUAUAGUCUGUGAUGAUCAUUCAGUGUCUUUUGCUGAGGCACUAAAUGAUGAAAAUAUGAAACUUUUCCGCUAUGACAUCGCACUUUCAGCAUUUGCUGUCUGAGAUGGAGUCCCUGAAGCCAAAGGUGCAAGCCGUGCAGCUCUGCCAGAGUGCUCUCCGGAUCCCUGAGGACAUGGUGGCCAGCUUGCCGCUCUGCCAUGCCGCCCUGCACCUGCAGGAGGAGGCCAGCCGGCUGCAGCACUCAGCCAUCCAGCAGUACAACAUCAUGCAGGCAGGUGCCAGUGUGCCCGGCUCCCCGGCCCAGGCUGGCGGAGCCAUCCGCGUGAGUCACGGGCUGCUUUUCUUGGCAUUGUGUGGGCUCAGCCAUCAAAACAUAUCCUGACUGCUAAAUUCGACAGACUGUUGUAGUUAUAUAAAAUGAGGAGAUGAAGAUGCUAUCAUUUGAAUGGCCCACAAAAGGCUGGGGAAAGCUCUAUGAAAAUAUCCUUUUGGAUAUUUAACUGCCUCUUGGUGAAAUUGUUUAUAAAGAACAACUUGUAUAGGUUAAAUUUGUAUGAAAUCAUAUACUUGCAAUCUUUUAUUCACUUGAGCAUUACGUAGAUUUGGUUAAUAUGUGUUUACUGUUA